CACAAGUCUCCUCCACCACCACCUCCUGUUCACAAAUCCCCACCUUCACCUAAGAGUCCAUACAAGCACAAUUCUCCACCACCACCUUCACCUAACAGACCCUACAAAAACAAGUCUCCUCCACCACCACCACAUAAUAUACCCUACAAGUACAAGUCACCCCCACCACCAGUGUACAAAUCACCACCAUCACCGCCUCCCAUCUAUGAGUCUCCACCACCACCACCGAAGAGUCCCUAUGUUUACAAGUCCCCACCACCACCACCACCAAUGAAACCCUACAAGUACACCUCCCCACCACCACCAAAGAGUCCCUACACGUACACUUCUCCCCCUCCUCCUCAUCACUACUGAUCGAUAUCCCAUUAAGGUGUUAUAAAAGGUGAACUGACUAGACAAAAAUCCCACAUUACAUUUCUCUUAAACUUCUUUCAUUGCCGAGGACAAAUCAGAAUGGGUUUUUCUUCUUCAUUAUGCUAUAUUUUGGCAAUUACGCUUUACACCAAAAAAAAAAAAAGGCUUUAACUAUUAACAUCUAGUUAUUUUUCUUGCUACAGUAUGUCUCAUGCAUGCACUGACAAUACUUCCUGUAUCUUUGCAGGUAAGGAUUUGUUGAAAAAUAAAACAAGUAUGGGCUAACUACAAUGUCCACGCAAAGAUAAUGAAAGCAACAAAACAUGAGAAACGACAAUGAACACAAAGGGACAUGUUGAAUUCUCACUAUAGAUCUUCAUGUUUUGAGAUAACAGAAGUUGGUGACUGCGUGAAAGUGGCCCAUGUUAGUAUGUAGCUAAUUAGUACGUGUAACAGAGCAAUCUUAGUAGGUGUUUAAGUUUUUAUGUUGUGUGUCUUAUGGUUCUUGAUCUCUUGCAAAUGCUGGGAUUAUCGAUUGGCAC
rnacentral:lncRNA from 1 species